GAGUUUGAUCCUGGCUCAGGAUGAACGCUAGCGGCAGGCUUAACACAUGCAAGUCGAGGGGUAACGGGGAAGCUUGCUUCCGCCGACGACCGGCGCACGGGUGCGUAACGCGUAUACAAUCUACCUUGUACUGGGGUAUAGCCUUUAGAAAUGAAGAUUAAUCCCCCAUAGUCUCUUAGAGUGGCAUCACUUCUAGAGUAAAGGUUACGGUAUAAGAUGAGUAUGCGUUCUAUUAGUUUGUUGGUGUGGUAACGGCACACCAAGACUACGAUAGAUAGGGGCCCUGAGAGGGGGAUCCCCCACACUGGUACUGAGACACGGACCAGACUCCUACGGGAGGCAGCAGUGAGGAAUAUUGGACAAUGGAGGCAACUCUGAUCCAGCCAUGCCGCGUGCAGGAAGACUGCCCUAUGGGUUGUAAACUGCUUUUAUACAGGAAGAAACACCUCUACGUGUAGAGGCUUGACGGUACUGUAAGAAUAAGGAUCGGCUAACUCCGUGCCAGCAGCCGCGGUAAUACGGAGGAUCCAGGCGUUAUCCGGAAUCAUUGGGUUUAAAGGGUCCGUAGGUGGAUAACUAAGUCAGAGGUGAAAUCUUGCAGCUCAACUGUAAAAUUGCCUUUGAAACUGGUUAUCUUGAGUUAUUAUGAAGUAGUUAGAAUAUGUAGUGUAGCGGUGAAAUGCAUAGAUAUUACAUAGAAUACCAAUUGCGAAGGCAGAUUACUAAUAAUUAACUGACACUGAUGGACGAAAGCGUGGGUAGCGAACAGGAUAAGAUACCCUGGUAGUCCACGCCGUAAACGAUGGUUACUAGCUGUUUGGACUUCGGUCUGAGUGGCUAAGCGAAAGUGAUAAGUAACCCACCUGGGGAGUACGUUCGCAAGAAUGAAACUCAAAGGAAUUGACGGGGGCCCGCACAAGCGGUGGAGCAUGUGGUUUAAUUCGAUGAUACGCGAGGAACCUUACCAGGGCUUAAAUGUAAGUUGCAUUAGCUAGAGAUAGCUAUUUCUUCGGACCACUUACAAGGUGCUGCAUGGUUGUCGUCAGCUCGUGCCGUGAGGUGUCAGGUUAAGUCCUAUAACGAGCGCAACCCCUGUUGUUAGUUGCCAGCGAGUCAUGUCGGGAACUCUAACAAGACUGCCAGUGCAAACUGUGAGGAAGGUGGGGAUGACGUCAAAUCAUCACGGCCCUUACGUCCUGGGCUACACACGUGCUACAAUGGUAGGUACAGAGAGCAGCCACUGCGCGAGCAGGAGCGAAUCUAUAAAACCUAUCACAGUUCGGAUCGGAGUCUGCAACUCGACUCCGUGAAGCUGGAAUCGCUAGUAAUCGGAUAUCAGCCAUGAUCCGGUGAAUACGUUCCCGGGCCUUGUACACACCGCCCGUC
rnacentral:rRNA from 1 species